rnacentral:tRNA from 1 species
GGCCAGAUGGCCGAGCGGUCCAAGGCGUGUGACUCAAGUUCUCAUCUUCGUAUGAAGGCAGGAGUUCGAAUCUCCUUCUGGUCA